rnacentral:lncRNA from 1 species
GUGGUUUUCUGAUGGAUGUGAAUGAGUAGAUGAGUUAUGAAUGUUGUGAGUAUAUGUACCCUCAUCUCAACAUUCAUAUCCACUCCUUCACAUCCAUCACAAGAAGAAAAUCCCACUUAAAAUCCCAGCAAAAAUUUGCGAAUCUAAAAGGGGCCUUUAGGAAUCGAAAUUCACCAAAUGUGUAGAAUUUCUGAAAUGGCAAUAGUUUAGUUUUACCGCGCGAAAUUCAAAAGUUUAAUAGUUUUUGCGCGCGAAAUUCAAAAGUUAAAACGCAUUUUGAGUUGAUGGGCGAGAACAUUGUUAUGUGUUUUAUUAAUGGUCCAAAUAUCAGAAAAUGUGCUCAAUUUUAAGUCCUUCAAAUAGUUGCUGAAACUUUCAUUUUUUGGCACCAAUGCCUUUCACGCAUGCAUAAUUCAUGCC